rnacentral:rRNA from 1 species
GGGGCAGGGUGAGUCGACCCCUAAGGCGAGGCCGAAAGGCGUAGUCGAUGGGAACACGGUUAAUAUUCCGUGACUCGUGGGAGUGUGACGGAUCUGGUAAAUUGUAUCGCCUUAUUGGAUUGGUGAUGCAGUGAACAGGUUCCAGGAAAUAGCACCCACACAAGAAUCGUACCCAGAACCAACACAGGUGCUCGAGUCGAGUAGACUAAGGCGGUUGAGAGAACUAUGUUGAAGGAACUAGGCAAAAUACAUCCGUAACUUCGGGAUAAGGAUGACCUCCUUCAAGGCAACUUUAAUGAGGUGACACAAACCAGGUGGGGGCGACUGUUUACUUAAAACCCAGGUCUCUGCUAAAUCGUACAAGAUGAUGUAUAGGGACUGACGCCUGCCCAGUGCUGGAAGGUUAAGCUGAGGAGUGCAAGCUCUGAUGUGAAGCCCCAGUAAACGGCGGCCGUAACUCUAACGGUCCUAAGGUAGCGAAAUUCCUUGUCGGGUAAGUUCCGACCCGCAUGAAUGGCGUAACGAUCUCCACACUGUCUCCAACAUAGACUCAGCGAAAUUGAAUUCUCGGUGAAAAUGCCGGGUACCCGCAGCUAGACGGAAAGACCCUAUGAAGCUUUACUGUAGUUUCGUACUGGCAUUAGGACACAUUUGCGUAGGAUAGGUGGGACGCUUUGAAGAGCAGGUUUCGGCUUGCUUGGAGCGGUUGGUGAAAUACCACCCUGGUGUGUUUUAAUGUCUAACCCGCGUUCUUGAAACAGGGCGGGGGACAGUGCGUGAUGGGCAGUUUGACUGGGGUGGUCGCCUCCCAAAUCGUACCGGAGGCGCGCGAAGGUUUGCUCAGGCUGGUCGGAAAUCAGCCGGUGAGUGCAAUGGCAAAAGCAAGCCUGACUGCGAGAGGGACACCUCGAGCAGAGACGAAAGUCGGUCAUAGUGACCUGGUGGUUCCGCAUGGAAGGACCAUCACACACGGAUAAAAGCUACUCUAGGGAUAACAGGCUGAUGCUACCCAAGCGUCCAUAGCGACGGUAGUGUUUGGCACCUCGAUGUCGACUCAUCGCAUCCUGGGGCUGGAGCAGGUCCCAAGGGUAUGGCUGUUCGCCAUUU